rnacentral:rRNA from 1 species
GGUAUUGAAAUAAGAUUUUAAAUGAGUGCUAAGAGAAUGAUUAAACAAUUAAAAGCUUUCUUUAAUUAAAUAAUUAAAUUUAAUUUUUUUAGUGCAAAAGCAAAAAUGAAAUUUAGGGACAAGAAGACCCUAUGAAUUUUUAUUGUUAAUGAUUUAAAUUUUAAUUAUUAACAAUUUAAUUGGGGUGAUAAAAAAAGAAUAAGUAUCUUUUUAAUUAUAAAAUAAGUUCCGUUUUUAGCGAUUAAAUGAAAUAAAUACUCUAGGGAUAACAGCGUAAUAAUUUUGGAUAGUUCAUAUAGAUAAAAUAGUUUGUGACCUCGAUGUUGGAUUAGGAUUCUUUUUUGGUGAAGAA